rnacentral:rRNA from 1 species
CAGUCGCCGCGGUAAUACGAAGGGUGCAAGCGUUACUCGGAAUUACUGGGCGUAAAGCGUGCGUAGGUGGUGGUUUAAGUCCGUUGUGAAAGCCCUGGGCUCAAACUGGGAAUUGCAGUGGAUACUGGGUCACUAGAGUGUGUCAGAGGAUGGUGGAAUUCCCGGUGUAGCGGUGAAAUGCGUAGAGAUCGGGAGGAACAUCAGUGGCGAAGGCGGCCAUCUGGGACAACACUGACGCUGAGGCACGAAAGCGUGGGGAGCAAACAGGAUUAGAUACCCCAGUAGUCCCUGUCUCUUAUAA